ensembl:processed_transcript
GAGUUAGAUUCUGUGACACAAAGGGAAGCGUGUCUGACUAAUUAUUCCCACACUGCCUUCGCUUCUGAGGGCUCCCUGGCCUGGGAGAGUUUGAGCAGAAGUGGUUCCCAGUGGGAAAGUGCGAACUUCAGGACGGGCCGUGUGGAGACUUCUGGGGCUGAGACGUGACUAACACAUUUCCAUGCUGAAGGAUGUGGUGGACUGGCAAGGGACUAGAAUAAGAGAUGACCUCUUAGAAGUGCCUUCAGGGUGCGGCAUACAAUUGAGGUCAUUGUGUUUGAACUUUGCUCAGUUCAGCGAGGUGUCACCUUUCCCCUGACUUUUGCCCCCAUGCAGUCUCCUUUUAACCAGUUAUGAGUUGUUUAGAUUCCAUGCAUUUGCAUGCUUUCUGCCAUGUCUGUUUACUGGUAUCCAGCUUUCAUCCAUGGGAGACAGGCAGGACUUAGGGUAUUGUUUUUAAAGAUUUAUUUAUUGUAUUUACACGAAUACGCUAUAGCUGUCUUCAGACACACCAGAACAGGGCAUUGGAUCCCAAUUACAGAUGGUUGGGAGCCACCAUGUGGUUGCUGGGAAUUGAACUCAGGACCUCUGGAAGAACAGUCUUAACCCCCUGAGCCAUCUCUCUAGUCCUUAAGGUAUUAUUUUAAUGUUCUUAUACCUGUUGAGACUUGAUUUGUGUCCUAAGAUGUGGUUAAUUUUGAAGAAACCUCUAUUGGAUGCUGAGAAAAUAGUAAAUUUUUUAGUGUUUAUGUGAUAUGUUCUAUAGAUGUCUGUUAAGUCCAUUUGAGUUAUGGAGUUAUUUAACUUCAGUAUUUCUCUGUUUGGUUUUUGCCUUGAGCUAACAGGUCCUAUGGUAGAAGUUGGUAAUGUCAUUCACUCUUACUAUGUUAAGGUGAAAUGUUAUCUUGGCUAUAGCAUUGUUUCUUGUAUUUAAUUGGAUGACGUUUUUGAUGCAUAAUGUUUAAAAUUUUAAUAUACUCUGGGUGUAUUAUUUUUUAAUGACUAGGUAGGGUCCUUUCCUAUCUUUUCUAAUUAGUUGUGGCUCGAUGUCUAAUUAGUCAGAUAUUAAAAUAGCUUGCUUCUUGCUUCCAUUUGUGUGGAAUAUUUUUCCUACCUUUUAUCCUAUGUGAGGCAUAUUUCUUGGAUGCAGCAGAAAGAUGGACCCUGUGUUCCAAUCCGUGCAUUAGUGUUUGUUUGUUUUAACUCUGUAAUUUUAGAUGCUGUGGAGGGUGCUGCUUACCGUCUUGCUCAGCAUGGCUUGCUCAGUCUGCUUCCUUAUAGAACCCAGGACCACCAGCCCAGGGAUCCUGUUUUCCAAUGGAUUGUGUCAAGGUGACAUAAAACUAGCCAGCACAAUCGCCAAUUGAAAGGAUUAUAUCUUUAAAAUUAUACAUUUUAAAAGUUCGACCAGGCAAAUCUAUAGCUCUCCAGGUCAAAUACUUUCUAAAACCUUUGCAAAAACUUUAACAAACACACCUGUGGUUCCAGUGAACUCGGGUUGGAGUCUAGCACGAGUUGUUUCACUUCUGAAGUUUGUUUUAGAUCUUAUGUAAUCUCCAAAGGGUCCCAGGAAGGAUGGGACCUCUGCUUGGAUCUGUGCUGAGUCUGAGGAUCACUGCAGGUCAGGGGAGGAGAACUCCUCGCUGGGUGUGAAGCGGAGAAAAUCAAGAACCGGUUGUAACUUGUUCCUCAGCAGCCCCAACUCUGAUAAGGCUGGAGGCCCACGAGACUGAGGCUGGCCAUGAACUCUUGCGCCUCUUUCAUCAGCCUCCGCAGGGCUGGGACUCCGGGCUGGAACUGCAUCCCAGCAUCCUGGAGCUUCACAGGCGCUAAGAAGCCAAGCAUCUCAUUCACACGCACUUGCACGGUGAGGAGUCUAGAGGAGACUGCGGGCUCCUGGGCUGCUCUGCCAUCACCCACCCUCACAGGAGCUGGGGUUGCGAGGAAGCCCUAGCCUCAGAGGAGACGGAGGUCAACCUCCCGUGGGGCCGACACCCCCGGGGGCCCCGAGGCCAACCACCCCGGCCUGGGACUGCUCCCACCACCCCGGCCGCUCUCACCAUGCUGAACUCCGGAGACCCGCUCAGACGCCGCCUGGGCCGUUCCUCACCACUGGUCCUCAACCGCCUCUGGUCUGCGCGCUCAACAGUCCAGGACGGAUGUGGAGUCCAGGCCGGGGCUCAUUGGCCCAGAGCGCCUUAGGGGCGGCCUUAGGCCCCACAUCCCACUAAUGAUUGGAUGUGGCUCAAGUUGCAGUGCUGGCACUUUCUGAUUGGAUGUGGCUUUGGCGGGAAGGCUCUGGAGUGGCUGGACGGGGACGAGCAUUGAGGAGCAUCUGAAGAUGGGGGGUGGGGGGAGGUGUGUCUGCGCGUCCCCGACAUUCAACUUAGCAUGGAACAAGUGGGGCGCUCAGGUCUUGCUUAUUUGCGCAUGUUAUCUGCGCAUCGGCGAUGGAGGGAUGCCCUUGCAGCCCUGCACACUAUCCGUACCUCUGUCCUCGCCUUUCCUCCUUUCGCCUCACCUCACACAGCCUUACCUCACUUGGGGCAGAAAAGCUGUUCAGCCUCCCUCGCUUUGGAGGCCACCAGGUCGUGCUUCUCCAGAGACCAUCUGCCACGUCUUGCGUUGGGACCCAGAGCUGUUUUGGAAGUCUGUGUGAGCAGUUGCCUAUUCCGACGUUAUUUACUCUGGGAGAAGGUUUUGAAAGGAUUUGGGUAUGCAGCCCCGGCUGGCCUCCAAGGCUUGUAGCCCGGGCUGGCAGAAGUUGAAACUCUGUCUCAGGCUACCUCAGAGCUGGGGCUAUAGAUGUGUGCCAUGCCCGGUGGCAACCAGACCUUCAAUCUGCAAUUUGGAGGAAACAUAAAUUAGUCAACAUACCUAUCUUUCCUCAGGAUAUCGAACUGCACAUAAUGAAUUAUAGGCUGUGCCAUGGUGUUUUUGUUUGUUUGUUUGUUUGUUUGGGCAGAGUCUCAUAUAUCCCACCCUGGUCUUGAUUUCCCCUGUAAUCAAGAAUGGAUUUGAUCCUUCUGAUCCUCCAAUCUCCACCCUCUGAGUCCUGGGACUGCGGAUCUGCAUCACAAGCUGGGGACACACUCAUGGCUUCAGAGAUGCUUAGCCAGCACUCUACCAAACCCAGCUACAACCCUACUCCCCAGUGCUGUGUUUACAAGAAACAUUUUUUUCUGAUUAUGAGAUUAACACAUUCAGAGUAGAACAUGUGGGAAAGGCAGCAAUAAAAUAGAACACCAACAACCACGCAUGUCUCUAGAGAAACACAUUUCAGCUGUCUUUCAUCCUGGCGUGCAUACAUUUAUGACUUGUUUUAUAACUAGAAUCAAACAUGAUUUUUUUUUAAAAAAAUUCUGCAAUAAACAUUUUUUGGAAC